UCCAAAUUUCUGCUCCUCCAACAAAUUUCAUUCAUCCAAAACCCUUGAAAUCGAAUUGAUUUAUGAUAUGACGACACGAUUGAUUCAAUCUUUUGUGAUCACCAUUCAGUGGAAUUAAUCGAAUCGUAAAGAGGAAAUGGCGUUGACGAAUUUCAUACUGACUGUGGCCGGAGUGAGCGCCGUCGUGUUGCUGCUACGGAGCGAUGUGAAGCAGUCCGCCACCAUCUUCCGUCGCAACGUCCGCCAAAUCCGAAACUGGCUCGAGGAAGAAUCCGCCUCCGCCGCUAAGGAAAUAGAGAAGAAGGCAAAACCCAAGGAAAUAUCAGAGAAAGAUAUACCCAAGAAAGACUAAGCACUAGGUUCAGUUUAUGCCUAGCAAAGGCAUGUGUUUGAUGUUUUUUAAUGUUCCUAUGUAGUUUCAUGUGAAAUCUUGAUAAGUUUUAUGUUGAUUCAUUUCAUGUGAAAUCCCAAUAAAUCUUUAUCUUCAGUUUCAAAGAAACGUUUUGAUCUGGUUCUUGCA